rnacentral:rRNA from 1 species
GNGAAGAACCUUACCCGGGGUAAAUUUCGGNUGACCGGCCCCGAAACGGGCNUUCCCUCGGGGCANCCGGAAAGGUGCUGCAUGGCUGUCGUCAGCUCGUGCCGUGAGGUGUUGCCUUAAGUGGCGCAACGAGCGCAACCCCUGUGGUUAGUUACCAGCACGUCGUGGUGGGGACUCUAGCCAGACUGCCUACGCAAGUAGUGAGGAAGGUGGGGACGACGUCAAGUCAUCAUGGCCCUUAUGUCCGGGGCUGCACACGUGCUACAAUGGAUGGUACAACCGGAAGCUACCCAGCGAUGGGAUGCAGAUCCGGAAAGCCAUUCCCAGUUCGGAUUGGAGUCUGCAACUCGACUCCAUGAAGUGUGGAAUCGCUAGUAAUCGCNUCAG